UUGGUCCUUUCGACUGUUCAGGCCAAAUAGUUCUUGUGUCUUUGCGACUCAACGACAACGUUGCUUAAUUAUUUGUCGUUCAUUUGCUGCUUAGAUUUGCUCACCUUAAACUACUUCUCUUUGCGACGAACAUUCGGACGUAGCCGUGGGGUUUAGCGUUAGGUUGUUGUUUUCAGUUUGCCGUUCGAUGGAAGCACCUAACAGCUGAUCUGGGCGAUAUGGGACAGCCCAGAUGAAGAAUGCUCUAGUCGUGGCCUGACUAUACCUCACAUUUCAGCCGAAGACUGAGGCAUAAUCAACUAGGAACACGAUUGGAUUUUCGUAAAAAUUGCAACAGUGGACAGGUAUUUGGAGCUUUGAAAUGGCCCGCCAUCAGAAGUCGAGAACAUUUUCGCGCGUUAUUCUACCUCUCCUAUAUUGGCUAGUAGCACGUAGCACGAUGUACAUUGAAACGGACUGUGGAUUAACAGUCCCGAUCGAGGUGAACUUCAGUGUCCCAGUAAAGACUUGAUGAGAUGCGGAUUCAAGAUGCUCAAUUCGAGUUCAGAACGAGCUUCGGUAGGAACCCAAAAGGGGGGAGACGGGGGAAACGACAAUGAGACGAAAUAGCUUAACAGGGACAGCAACAGGACGAUAUCAGUCGACGUUCAUCGAUAUCGAACGCCAGUCACCAUUUUGACAAUAAGAUGGAUCAGAAGACGACGAAAUAAGGAGAAAAAAUACGGCAGAGAAAUACGAGCUGUUAGGUCAUAAGACGCAGUAAGGUAUGAGCUGGACGUAUAUGGGAAGUACCGAACAACGAAAACGAAAGCAGCUUGAAGAAACUAAUUGAACAAUAUUAGGCGAUACGAGUCUGAAAAAAGCGGCCUUCCUCUGAGCGAGCAGCGGGUAACAGGUAACGUGGUGUAACAAAAAAAAUAGAAGCGACCAACAGUGCCGGUAGUUGUUGGUAUCAUUGCCAUUAUUGCUAGAAUACUUCUGUUAAUUCGUUCAGCUUAGCCGAUACCUUGAACCAUCGCAACUAGUCCCUUAUCAACUGUGAUCCCCGCUAAACCACAAAACCUUCUCGAGUACGAAACUCGGGAAGAGUAACCAUAAAGGAAUAUAGAAAUGAACAGUAGCUUAGAAAACCUACAUAGUAUCAAGAACUAACUAAAGUAAAAGCGGGGGUAUCUGAAGAAGACGAACCUUCGUAGGAUGUGCUUUCCAAGCCGUUGGCGCUUGCAAAAUUCUUAGCGGUCCCCCAGCGAGUAGUUCGCCGAUUAUCGCAUAUAUUGAUAGUUCGUAUGGAGGAUUGUGAACGAAGGAUGGUCCAGAAUCAAUAGAAGAAACAUUUACGUUUCUUUUAGCCGCCGCUUUUCGAUGUCCACCACGAUGUCUACGUGUUCGCCCAUUACAAGGUAUUCAGGCUGCCCUACGUAAUAGCUUUUGCGGGAAUGAACGAAAAUCUCAA